UACAGAGGUCCCAAGCGUUGUUCGGAUUCACUGGGCGUAAAGGGUGCGUAGGUGGCCAGGUAAGUUUGAUGUGAAAGCUCGGAGCUUAACUCCGAAAUGGCAUUGAAUACUAUCUGGCUUGAGGGUCGGAGGGGAGACUGGAAUUCUCGGUGUAGCAGUGAAAUGCGUAGAUAUCGAGAGGAACACCAGUGGCGAAGGCGGCUCACUGGCCCGAUACUGACGCUGAGGCACGAAAGCGUGGGGAGCAAACAGG
rnacentral:rRNA from 1 species